UUUAAGAAAAGUAUUACAGGUUGUUGAGACGCUCCAAGAAUCAAGAUUCAUAGAAUUGGAUGAAACUUGAAGGAUUCUUGAGAGGAACAUUGUGGACAUAAUUGGUUGAUCAUACUCUGUACUGCUGAGGUGUUUCUACAUUGACCAGAAACAUGUAUCUACAAUCUUGGAUUGUGCUACCCUGUUCGUGCGUGACAAGAAGUAGAACAAGGGGUUCUUGGACUUUGAGAGGUGUUCUCAAAGGGUUCUGCAGUGAAGAUGUGUAGUUCUUUGUGUAGGUGUUAUCUUUCUAUAUUUGAUUGUUGAGUGGGAGAGGUGUUUACAUUUG
rnacentral:lncRNA from 1 species